ensembl:snRNA U1 U1 spliceosomal RNA
AUACUUAGAUGGCACAGGAGACACCAUAAUCACAAAGGUGGUUUUCCAGGGCAAGGUUCAUUUAUUGCACUCUGAGUGCUGACCUCUGUGAUACCCCCAAAUGAGAGAAACUCAGCUGCAUAAUAUGUGGUAGUUAGGGAGUGUGUUCAUUCUCUCCUUUA